rnacentral:rRNA from 1 species
AGUUUGAUCCUGGCUCAGAUUGAACGCUGGCGGCAGGCUUAACACAUGCAAGUCGAGCGGGGGAAAGUAGCUUGCUACUGGACCUAGCGGCGGACGGGUGAGUAAUGCUUAGGAAUCUGCCUAUUAGUGGGGGACAACAUUCCGAAAGGAAUGCUAAUACCGCAUACGUCCUACGGGAGAAAGCAGGGGACCUUCGGGCCUUGCGCUAAUAGAUGAGCCUAAGUCGGAUUAGCUAGUUGGUGGGGUAAAGGCCUACCAAGGCGACGAUCUGUAGCGGGUCUGAGAGGAUGAUCCGCCACACUGGGACUGAGACACGGCCCAGACUCCUACGGGAGGCAGCAGUGGGGAAUAUUGGACAAUGGGGGGACCCCUGAUUCCAAGCCAUGCCGGCGUGGUGUGAAGAAAGGCCUUUAUGGUUGUAAAAGCACUUUUAAGCGAGGGAGGGAGGGCUACUAGUAUUAAUACUACUGGAUAGUGGAACGUUACUCGCAGAAUAAGGCCCCGGCUAACUCUGUGCCAGCAGCCGCGGUAAUACAGAGGGUGCGAGCGUUAAUCGGAUUUANCUGGGCGUAAAGCGUGCGUAGGCGGCCAUUUAAGUCAAAUGUGAAAUCCCCGAGCUUAACUUGGGAAUUGCAUUCGAUACUGGAUGGCUAGAGUAUGGGAGAGGAUGGUAGAAUUCCAGGUGUAGCGGUGAAAUGCGUAGAGAUCUGGAGGAAUACCGAUGGCGAAGGCAGCCAUCUGGCCUAAUACUGACGCUGAGGUACGAAAGCAUGGGGAGCAAACAGGAUUAGAUACCCUGGUAGUCCAUGCCGUAAACGAUGUCUACUAGCCGUUGGGGCCUUUGAGGCUUUAGUGGCGCAGCUAACGCGAUAAGUAGACCGCCUGGGGAGUACGGUCGCAAGACUAAAACUCAAAUGAAUUGAC